AAAAAGAAAGAAAGAACUGUCAUUUACUGUCAAGUGUCAACGACCGACAUGUGCACGAGAUGUGAGAAUAAUUGCCACGUAAAUUGAUUAAAUGUGGUACAUUUAAAGGAUAUUUCAAGAAAGCAGUGCCAAAUAAUAAAACCAAAUUAAGAGCAAUCCGCAGCACUACAAUCACACGAAAGGGAAGGACAGAAGAAUACACUGAGUACCCACAGAUAACAGCAAAAAAUAAAUAAAUAAAAUAAACCCAUGUCAAGAAACUAAACGGAGCCAAGUGGAUGAGGACUGCACACAAGGUGCUGGAGAAAUUCAGGUGAAGCUGGAGCUGGAAGUGGACCUGCCCCCAGGCGUGUCGUGCAUACAUUUAAGGGCACGCAGAGGCGGUGGCAGGUCAUUCCAACAUUUAGAAGCAGCAAACCUGAAGGAGCCUCUAAAAGCUGCAGUACGAUGUUUAGGGGUGUUAAA